rnacentral:tRNA from 1 species
GGGCGGAUAGCUCAGCCGGGAGAGCGCGGCCCUUACAAGGCCGAGGUCACAGGUUCGAUCCCUGUUCCGCCCACCA